UCUGCGCUGUGGGGUUCCGCGCGCCCGCGCGGGAAGGGCUGGGCGCCAUGUUUGCGGAAAGAGGCUGAAGCACCAACCCGUGGGCCUCCCGGCCCCUGGCCCUCAGGCGAGGGGCGCCUGCCUUCUCCAGAAGGCCGUCCUCGCGCCCUCCUGAGGGAGACCCUGCAGCUCUGUGGUUGAGGAGCCUCAGAAACGGGGUUUCUGGCCCCUCGGCCGUGGGUUCCAGGACCUUCAGGGAAGCAUGGGCAGCUGAGAGAGAAGCAGGGCCGGACGCCAGUUUAAGCGCCGAAAACAUCCCAGUCAGGACCCUUGAUGUAGGGCGCAAGAGACCUCACUGUGGGACCCUCUGGGUUCAUCCCAAAUGCCUGUUGACUGAAAAAAAACACACGACCUAAAAGUCGGGAGUUAUGUUUUAUUCCUUGGACAAAACUGAGGACUUAAGCCCAGGACGCAGCAUCCCAGAUAACUGAGGGACUGCCCCGAAGAGCCUCCGACCGCAGGCACUCAGGCAGCUGACACCUGGACCAGCAGGACGUCCGGGUAUUGCCGUCUUGGAACAGGAGCAAAACCCUGGGACUCCCUGAAAUUCUGAAUUUUCCCGAGGGAAACAAACACCAUAGACACCGAGCCCAGUUUAUAAGGGUCCAGCGAGUGUUUCCCCGGAAAGGGCAUAAAUCCUCUUCCGCAGGCCCGCAGUGGAAGCAGCACUUGCCCGUGGAGGCCGGUGCCGUCUCUCCGGCCAGGUGCCCGCUGCGUGGGCCCCAGCUUUGGAGCUUUAUGUCAGCAGGAGUAUUUUUAUUUAAUGUCACAUGGUAAACACAAAGAAAACCCUCUGUUCUCAGACCUCGUUUCAGCAGGGUGGGGAGUUAAGAGCUUAGCUCGUCGCCUUGUUUUCUGCCGAACUUAGUCAGGCUUCAGUAUUUUUGUUCCUGGAGUGAAGCUUCCUGCCCCCAUUAGAGACAUUGAAAACUUCCUUGACUCAUAUCUUGCACUAUUUGUUUAGUUCUUUAAUAAAUGAAACCCUAAU